CACUGUUUAGGAUGAUUGUUUAAAAAGACAAUGGGAAUCUCUCUGAAAAAGAGUGAAAGACUACUUUUUGAACUGAAACAGUG